rnacentral:tRNA from 1 species
UGGCUCAGACAGUAAAGCAUCUGUCUGCAGUACAGGAGACCCAGGUUUGAUCCCUGG